rnacentral:rRNA from 1 species
GACGAACGCUGGCGGCGUGCUUAACACAUGCAAGUCGAACGGAAAGGCCCGCCUCUUGUGGGGUGCUCGAGUGGCGAACGGGUGAGUAACACGUGAGUAACCUGCCCUUGACUUUGGCAUAACUUCAGGAAACUGAGGCUAAUACCACAUAGCAGCUCCCGCUGCACGGUGGGGGUUGGACAGCUUCGGCGCUUGGGGAUGGACUCGCGGCUUAUCAGCUGGUUGGUGGGGUAGUGGCUUACCAAGGCUUUGACGAGUAGCCGGCCUGAGAGGCUGAACGGCCACAUUGGGACUGAGAUACGGCCCCGCCUCGUACGGGAGGCACCAGUGAGGAACAUUGCACACUGGGCGGCAGCCUGAUGCAGCACCGCCGCGUGCGGGAUGACGGCCUUCGGGUUGUAAACCGCUUUCGCAUGUGACGAAGCGUGAGUGACGGUAAUGGGUAAAGAAGCACCGGCUACCUACGUG